GAUGAACGCUGGCGGCGUGCCUAAUACAUGCAAGUCGAGCGAACGGACGAGAAGCUUGCUUUUCUGAUGUUAGCGGCGGACAGGUGAGUAACACGUGGAUAACCUACCUAUAAGACUGGGAUAACUUCGGGAAACCGGAGCUAAUACCGGAUAAUAUUUUGAACCGCAUGGUUCAAAAGUGAAAGACGGUCUUGCUGUCACUUAUAGAUGGAUCCGCGCUGCAUUAGCUAGUUGGUAAGGUAACGGCUUACCAAGGCAACGAUGCAUAGCCGACCUGAGAGGGUGAUCGGCCACACUGGAACUGAGACACGGUCCAGACUCCUACGGGAGGCAGCAGUAGGGAAUCUUCCGCAAAGGGCGAAAGCCUGACGGAGCAACGCCGCGUGAGUGAUGAAGGUCUUCGGAUCGUAAAACUCUGUUAUUAGGGAAGAACAUAUGUGUAAGUAACUGUGCACAUCUUGACGGUACCUAAUCAGAAAGCCACGGCUAACUACGUG
rnacentral:rRNA from 1 species